rnacentral:lncRNA from 10 species
ACAUUGAGACAUAUCACUGGGCCUAGUACCCAGGUAAGAUUGUGAGAUACCUUGGCUGAAAUCCAGGUGAUGUGACUCUCCUGCUAGCUCCCUACCUACAGGUAAAAUUGUGACAUAUACUGUAGUCAGCUUACAAGUGCAAUGAUGACUCUCAUACGUCAAAUGAGCUAUUAGAAGAAAUACUGUCAUAGCUCGACUUAGAAAAAUGGACGACAUUCUGGGUCUCCUCUUUGUAUGAAGGUUAUAAAGGAUUGCCACCCACCUACCUAUCAUAUAAUGCCUUCAGGUGUUACAGAAAGUGUCAUCACAGGGCACGGCAAACAGAUGAAAUUGUGUUUCUCAUAUGUGCACCUCACCAACCAUUAGGAUUAUCACCGUCACACAUGGAAAGAGCCCAUU